GUGGAAGGCAGGGGCAUAGAGGAAGAGUUCUAUGGACCCGUGGUGCUUGGGCACCAGGAAUAUUUCUCGGCCCCACCUUCUGUCCCGGGCGCUCCUCCCCCUGCUCAUCUCCUGGGUGAUUUAAAAUGGCCCGGGGCCCCACCCACCACCGGCAGCACAGCAGAGCUGAGCGGCUUCCUGCCUGCUUGCUCCACGUAGCUGCCAGCCUCUCCCUGCGGCCCCUGGGCGGGGUGCGUCUGUGUUUACACGUGCUGCUCUCACCCCAACCGCCCGUGGCCAAUAGGAAGCCAGCCUGGGGGUAGCAGUGCACAGAGGCCACCCCGGCCCACCCUGCCUAGGAGCCCCAGUUGUGUUUGAAGUGGGUAGCAGCCACCAAAGGUCUGCGGGGCAGUACGGCAUGGCAUCAAUAUCAGCAUGCAAUUCUCAAUGAAACCCUUGGAUAAUGGGUGACGGCAGACCGUGGUUGCAGAAUUGGAGGAAGUUGCAUACCUGGAUCUUUGAACUCUCUGUCAUUUGCGAGAUAUUGUAAGCAGAGGAAGAUCAAAGUGGACACAAAGAAUUCAAACUAGGCAGUGGUAAGAAGGAACUGGAGAGGCAUUGGUCCGUGCCACCCUCUAUGCCCUCAGUUCGAAGCAUGAGGAGA